rnacentral:rRNA from 1 species
AUUGAACGCUGGCGGCAGGCCUAACACAUGCAAGUCGAACGAGUGGCGGACGGGUGAGUAAUGUCUGGGAAACUGCCUGCUGGAGGGGGAUAACUACUGGCAACGGUAGCUACUACCGCAUACCAUCAGAUGUGCCCAGAUGGGAUUAGCUUGUUGGUGGGUUAACGGCUCACCAAGGCCACGAGCCCUAGCUGGUCUGAGAGGAUGACCCGGCACCCUGGAACUGAGAAACGGUCCAGACUCUUACGGGAGGCAGCAGUGGGGAAUAGUGCACAAUGGGCGCAAGCUUGAUGCAGCCAUGCCGCGUGUAUGAAGAAGGCCUUCGGGUUGUAAAGUACUUUCAGCGGGGAGGCGUUACCCGCAGAAGAAGCACCGGCUAACUCCGUGCCAGCAGCCGCGGUAAUAC